rfam:Ornithorhynchus anatinus Cont120017.1, whole genome shotgun sequence.
GGAUUAUCGGAAGCAGUGACUUCCAUAAUUU